UGGGGAAUUUUGCACAAUGGGGGAAACCCUAAUGCAGCGACGCCGCGUGAUUUAGAAGGCCUUCGGGUUGUAAAAAUCUUUUUUAUGGGAUGAAAAUGACAGUACCAUAAGAAUAAGGUCCGGCUAAAUACGUGACAGCAGCCGCGGUAAUACGUAUGGACCGAGCGUUGUCCGGAAUCAUUGGGCGUAAAGGGUACGUAGGCGGCCCAGUAAGUUAGAAGUGAAAUAAUAUAGCUCAACUAUAUAAAGCUUUUAAAACUGCUAGGCUUGAGAGAUGGAAGGGAAAGUGGAAUUCCUAGUGUAGCGGUGAAAUGCGCAGAUAUUAGGAAGAAUACCGGUGGCGAAGGCGACUUUCUGGUCAUCAUCUGACGCUGAGGUACGAAAGCGUGGGUAGCAAACAGG
rnacentral:rRNA from 1 species